GAUACAAGGGGUCAGUGAAUGCUUUGAUUUACAAAAACUUUAUACUAUAUAUAUAUAUAUAUUUCAAAUUAAAACUAGGACUGCUUUGUUGGAAUGCUCUGUAUUAAUGCAUUUCUCGUUUUGAAUCAUUGUCUAGUCCACUGGCCAGCAAAUGUUAAGAUUGCUUUGAGUGCAGUUCAGCCGAGAGUCAUGCAAGUUUUUUUUUUUUUUUUUUUAACAGUCUGAAAUGUAUUUAGAUUCUGAUUAUGCUGACCAGACUGCAAGCAGAAAUCCCAAGGCAAGCGUCUUUGAAGGUGUGGUGACUUUAGGGAUAAAAUUAGGUUUAGUUUAUGUCAGUGGUCUGCAGAAAAUAGGGUGUUUUAUAAUUGUUCUUUCUUUCUCUCCCUCUCUUCCUCUCUCUGUCUUUCUUUGAUGAUCCAAGAGAGAAGCUUAUGUUGAGAUACUGACUUUUUCAGCCUUUCUUGACAUCAAAUCCAAGUUUAGUCCAUUUGGAUGCCAUGUUAUACAUGACACAUUUUCAGUGUGUGUGUUUUUUUUUUCUUUUCAUUUUACACAUUCAAACAUAAAAUGAAAAGGUUUACGUUUGAAUGUCAUAUGUUUACAAAGUAGAGCUUAGUGACACUCUCUAGUUUAGUGUAGUUAAAAAUAAAACAUUUAAAAAAAUCCCAGCUAUGCUAAAUAUGUAGCUUACUACUUUAUUCUGCAACAUCAACUUUGCAGCGUUCGGUUGCUACGUUGUAUUUAUACUGGGAUGUUAUCCUCGGCCCCUCUAAAAAUAAAAGAGUGGUGACUUGCAGAAGUCGAAGGUCUCCGAGUUCAGGUUCAGAGAAAGAGUUGUUGUGGUAUGUAUGAACUCUUGAGCCUUUAUUUACAGUGUGAGCAUGCUCAUUGUCCUUCACAGUUCUUGGGUGUGAUGUUACUCCCGCAUCUACGCACCCACUUUCAAAACUAAUUAAACAGAGCCUUUGCUGGAAAAGCAGGAAAGCAUUAGAAUGAUUGUUGUGCUUCUCACUGCUAUUAACAGUAAAUAGAAAUAAAUAAAUGAGUGUAUAUCACUGAGAAAAUAUGAUUAUAUUGAUUUUGAAGAACCAUCCAUGUCUUAGUUUUUGUGUGAUAAACUUCCCCCACCCCCAAACUGUAACAAUGAAUUAAAUACACAGCAGCCGAUUUGGAUGUUGAACUUGGAUCAGAUAGGGAACUAUUAAUUUCCCAAGUCUAUAUUCAGAUUUCUCUCAGUUUUAUUCCUCUCAACUUGGACUUCAGACUUCAUUUGAAGUAUAAAUAAUGUGAGUCAUCUAAACAUGCUGUGUGAAAGGUACUCCUGCUGUUCAGUGCACAUCAAAAGCCUUUUGGGGAUGUUCCAGAUGAGCAUGAAUUAAAACAAUAUUUUAAUUAUGAUUAUAUAUCUCAAAUUCUAAAAUGAUUGAAUCAAAAUAACUUUAUUCCAACCCAACAGGAAAACCCUUUCGUCUGCUUGGAUCUCCAAAAAAUUCCUGUCAUCUCUCCAGAAGUCACCGACUGUCCGAAACCUCUGACUGUAAGGCCAUGAGAACCCCAAGACUCAUUGGGGAAUCCUCACGGGAGAAGUUGCAGCUCCAGUUUGUUUACAGACGACCACUUCCUACGCCAAUGAGGUCACAGCGCUUCGUGUUCAACAUUCUUUGUGCUGCAAAUAUAAUAAAACGUGCUGAAGGACGACUGAGCACAUGUGGUUCUGAGCCCACUGUUGUUUAUUCUCAACACUUAAUUUGGAGUUAGUAUGGGUGGGCUUCUUAUAACACCCAGCAGACACACCCUGCGUGGGAUAAGCUUGAAAUAGUGGAACUAUAUUCCUGAUUAAAAUUGUGCAAAUGUUAGUAUAAUGCAGUAACUCAAAUUAUCACACUCAAGAACCAGACAAGAUAUGAAAAAAAAUAUAGAUACAAAUACAACUGAUUUCACAAAAGCGAAGAGAAAAUUAAUAAUAAGCUGAAAAUGUAAGGUUAAAAAUGCUAUUUAAUCAUAUAAAGAGUUCCAUCUAUGCUCAGGUCCCAUUGACUCAGAUCACAAAAGCUUAGAUCUACACUGGCAGCCAUCAAAAUGUGAAUGCGAAACAUUUUUUGUGAAUUGAAAAAAAAAAAAUCUUUGUGCA